rnacentral:rRNA from 1 species
GGCAGCGCGGGGAAGCUUGCUUCCCUGGCGGCGAGUGGCGGACGGGUGAGUAACGCGUGGGAAUCUGCCCGGUUGUGGGGGAUAACCCGAGGAAACUCGGGCUAAUACCGCAUACCUCCUGAGGGAGAAAGGCGGGGAUCUCUUCGGAGACCUGUCGCAACCGGAUGAGCCCGCGUCCGAUUAGCUAGUCGGUGAGGUAAGAGCUCACCAAGGCGACGAUCGGUAGCUGGUCUGAGAGGAUGAUCAGCCACACUGGGACUGAGACACGGCCCAGACUCCUACGGGAGGCAGCAGUGGGGAAUAUUGGACAAUGGGGGCAACCCUGAUCCAGCAAUGCCGUGUGUGUGAAGAAGGCCUGCGGGUUGUAAAGCACUUUCAGUGGGGAAGAGGGGCUUCGAGUUGAUAACGCUCGGGGUUUGACGUUACCCACAGAAGAAGCACCGGCUAACUCCGUGCCAGCAGCCGCGGUAAUACGGAGGGUGCGAGCGUUAAUCGGAAUUACUGGGCGUAAAGCGCGCGUAGGCGGCCGAGUCAGUCAGAUGUGAAAGCCCCGGGCUUAACCUGGGAAUGGCAUUUGAGACUGCUCGGCUGGAGUCUGUCAGAGGGUGGCGGAAUUCCGGGUGUAGCGGUGAAAUGCGUAGAUAUCCGGAGGAACACCGGUGGCGAAGGCGGCCACCUGGGGCAAGACUGACGCUGAGGGGCGAAAGCGUGGGGAGCGAACAGGAUUAGAUACCCUGGUAGUCCACGCUGUAAACGAUGAGAACUGGGUGUUGGGACGGUUGGCGUCUCGGUGCCGAAGUCAACGCGAUAAGUUCUCCGCCUGGGGAGUAC